CCGAGCGCCCGAAGUGACAGGAGGGGCACGCUUGGCGCGCGCGGGGCGUCCCGCCUUAACCGCUUCGGCGCCGGGGCGGACGACGGCGGCGCGAGGGCGGGAGCGGGGACCGCGCUGCCUGCACUCACCGGAAUGUGCACUCGCAGCGAACGCCGCUUCUGGCUCGGGUUUUUCUUCCCGCCGCUCCCGCCGGGGCUGGAAACAUCUUUUUUCUUCUUGGUGUCCAUGGCCGCGCUUCCCAUAACUUUAGCCAGAAGUUAAUUCCGGGUGCCUCGUCCUGCAGUCGCGUCCUCUCCUUCCUCGCCGGCCCCCGCGGCCGGCCUCGAGCCGCGCGCUCUUCGCGACCGUCCUUCCACCCCGAGGACACGGCGCGGGGACUUCCGCGGGGAGGGAAGGUGGCGCAGGUACCUCCGGCCGCCGCCGCCGGCAGGGAUGGCGGGCGGCGAGAGCGCGGAGUUCACGUGUCCCCUUCCUCCUCACGGGCUCAGCGAUGCAAAACCAAAGCCAAAGGCGGUCCUGGCUCCGCUGUCCCUCCGGGUUACGCGUGGCAGAGGUCUCCCGCUGGGUGACAAAGUUUUCUUCCUUUUGCAAGGCGAAGCAACAUUUUCCCCCCUCUCAGCUCCGCCCACGGACGCCCAGAGGUUCUGAGGACAUAGUGACCCCAAAAGUCCCUGGAGCGCCCCGAAUGCUGACGUCGGUCCCGCCUCUCCUCCUAAGCAGUAAAUCAGGAAGGCCACGGGAGAAGAGCGGGCCUUAACUCCUGCCCAGUCCUCCUUCCAUCAUCUGGUGUGAAAUCCCCUGCGGUCUAGGUGGUUCCUUUUUCUCCCCUGCUCUUCAGGCCAGAAUGAAGCCAGACUGGAAAAUCUUGGAGGACUCCUUGCUUGACAUAAAUUUGAAAUGCCCCGGGGCGGGGGGUGUGGGUUCAAAAAUCAAUUGGCCAACCUGGCCCUGCAAGGUGUGGAAUUUCACACUUUGACCUUUUUCUGACUGGCUGGUGGGGGAGGGGGGGACAUGAGACUGCCCAUUUAGGGCCCUUUAUUUCCCUAAAUGCUGGAAAUACUGGUUAGAAAAGGAGGGGGGGGGGGUUCCUUACCUAUGCAACCAAGGGAACCCACCCUUACCCGCUCAGAAUUCCUCCCCAAGUGUCACUUAAACUUCAUCUCUUUAGCUUCCCAUUUUUAAUCCCUAUCACAGUAAUAAUAAUUUUCCAGGGUGUGGAAAUCACUCCGUUCGACUAGAACUGAUUUGGGAAGGAAAGAUGGAGAAGGUGGGAAGGAGGGAGUUGACAGGAAGGGAAGUCUGGAAGAGCCACUAGGGAGGGAUUCAGAACCAGGAGGUCACUGUCAUUGUGUCAUUGCUGGGGCUAAAUGCCUUGCCUGGGGCCUGUCCUGGGUGAUGGGCAGUGGUUAGCAGUUCUUAUAAUAGGUACUUUGUUGGUUGCUUGGUGUAAAUACAUCCAAUCAUUCAUUAAUAAAAUUAAUUUGUUCUCUGUUUAUUUUGUUGGAGUACAGACUUCAGUGCCCAGGGAUCCGAAAUUAAAGUGUUUUACCAUCUUGCCUGCAUUUUAAGUGCCUUUGUUGUUGUUGUUUUUCCAUAUGGGACUAUUUCUGAGAUCUGGGUGUUUCUUAUAGACAGUGCCAAAAAGAAGCAUACUAGUCUCUUUUUUUUCCUUUUGAAAAGAUAUUAAAUUGAUCAUAUAUCUUCCAAUCAGUGGAGUCUUAGAAUUGAGUUUUUUGUAAUUGUUUUGCUUUGGGGGUGCCUUCUGAAACCCAUGUUCCCCUCCACCUUGCCGCACACAUGGUUAUUUUAGCCAGUAGCUAAAAGUGGCAUGCCAAGAAACAGUGUCCAUGUACUGACCCUUGCUACUGAUUGUUUCUGAACGCACUAACCUAUGACUUCUUUCUCAAAGACAACGCAAUACGAUCUGUUCAAAGCACAAUAUCAAAAUUUAAAAUAAAGAUAAGCAUUACUGAGUUUGCCUUCCGCCUGGCUCUCAUAUUGCCAAGGUCAACACCAUUACUGAUCCUGUCUUUUUGAAAAAUUCAGACUUUUUUUAGUAUAAGACAAAGUGUUUAUACACAUAGAAGUUUAUAUAGAUUAUAUAUAUAAUAAGUUCUUGUAUAUAAGGUUUAUAUAUAAUUUAUAUAAACUGUGCAUAAGUAUAAAGUUUAUUGAUAAAUUUAUAUAUGUUUGUAAUGCACUAUAUAUAUGUAGUGAAGCCAGUGCACAGGAUCUGAGUAAAGCAGAGGCUCUAAGGUCACGAAAUAUCUAUGUGAUCCUUUACAUUUUCCAGUGCCUGGCAGUUAGGCUAAGAAUUGUAAUUAAUUCUGGCUGAUGAAAUGUGAAUAGAUUAAGUGUGUGUUAUUUCUGGGCCAGGCAGUGAAGAGUUGGGAUGUCUCCCUCACUUUUCCUCUGUUGCCGUGAUCUUAGAGACCUUGUGUUCCAGACGGUGUCCAGGAAGAAAGGGUUGGACAACUGGCUUUGCACUUGAUUGAGAUGGAUUGCACUUCAUCUGUAAUGCCGGUUAACCAUAGGUCAUCCUGCCCAUGCAAUCCAACAAGUACUUUGGAUUAAGAUAAAGCUUAUUCACACAUGAUGGAAGAGGUUCCUGGAAUCUCCUGGAGAUGGACGCAGAGUUUCUCGGAGCAACCAGGAGGACCUUGUGUGAAGCACGAGGUGGCAUGUGGGGCUCGCUGCAAAUAUGAAGCCCUUGAAGAGACUCCAUGCUGGUCAGCAUCGAGGCCAGCUACCUGGUCUUGUGGCUAGGAUGCAAGCACAGCUGCUUCGGCCAGAGCUUUAAGAAGAGUCUAUAUCUCAGUAGGAUCGCUGGUUCCAAGUCCUUUUGUGAUCUUUGCAGCCUUAAGAAACUGACAAUUUGUUCUCCAAGAAUGGAGAUAGCUAGAGAAUUGUGUCAUUUUAACCACUCCCUCCUAAAAGACUGGUUUUUCA